rnacentral:rRNA from 1 species
UACAGAGGUCUCGAGCGUUGUUCGGAUUCAUUGGGCGUAAAGGGUGCGUAGGCGGUCGGGGUAAGUCUGAUGUGAAAUCUCACAGCUUAACUGUGAAACUGCAUUGGAUACUAUUCGGCUUGAGAGUUGGAGGGGGGACUGGAAUUCUUGGUGUAGCAGUGAAAUGCGUAGAUAUCAAGAGGAACACCAGUGGCGAAGGCGAGUCCCCUGGACAACUUCUGACGUGAGGCACGAAAGCGUGGGGGAGCAAAAGGG